rnacentral:rRNA from 1 species
UACAGAGGUCUCAAGCGUUGUUCGGAUUCAUUGGGCGUAAAGGGUGCGUAGGCGGCGCGGUAAGUCGGGUGUGAAAUCUCGGAGCUUAACUCCGAAACUGCAUUCGAUACUGCUUUGCUAGAGGACUGGAGAGGAGAUUGGAAUUCACGGUGUAGCAGUGAAAUGCGUAGAGAUCGUGAGGAAGACCAGUGGCGAAGGCGGAUCUCUGGACCGAUACUGACGCUGAGGAGCGAAAGCGUGGGGAGCGAACAGG